UAGGGAAUCUUCGGCAAUGGGGGCAACCCUGACCGAGCAACGCCGCGUGAGUGAAGAAGGUUUUCGGAUCGUAAAGCUCUGUUGUAAGUCAAGAACGGGUGUGAGAGUGGAAAGUUCACACUGUGACGGUAGCUUACCAGAAAGGGACGGCUAACUACGUGCCAGCAGCCGCGGUAAUACGUAGGUCCCGAGCGUUGUCCGGAUUUAUUGGGCGUAAAGCGAGCGCAGGCGGUUUGAUAAGUCUGAAGUUAAAGGCUGUGGCUCAACCAUAGUUCGCUUUGGAAACUGUCAAACUUGAGUGCAGAAGGGGAGAGUGGAAUUCCAUGUGUAGCGGUGAAAUGCGUAGAUAUAUGGAGGAACACCGGCGGCGAAAGCGGCUCUCUGGUCUGUAACUGACGCUGAGGCUCGAAAGCGUGGGGAGCGAACAGGAUUAGAUACCCUGGUAGUCCACGCCGUAAACGAUGAGUGCUAGGUGUUGGAUCCUUUCCGGGAUUCAGUGCCGCAGCUAACGCAUUAAGCACUCCGCCUGGGGAGUACGACCGCAAGGUUGAAAC
rnacentral:rRNA from 1 species